GCAUUCAGUUGCCAACGGUAAGCCGGGCACUCUGGAUGGACUGCCGGCGACAAGCCGGAGGAAGGUGGGGAUGACGUCAAGUCAUCAUGGCCCUUAUGGUCCAGGGCGACACACCGUGCUACAAUGGCCGGCACAGCGGGAAGCGAGGGGGCGACCUUGAGCGGAUCCCUCAAAGCCGGUCUCAGUUCGGAUUGCAGUCUGCAACUCGACUGCAUGAAGUUGGAAUCGCUAGUAAUCGUGGAUCAGCCAAGCCGCGGUGAAUACGUUCCCGGGCCUU
rnacentral:rRNA from 1 species